rnacentral:rRNA from 1 species
CCUACGGGAGGCAGCAGUGAGGAAUAUUGGUCAAUGGGCGGAAUCCUGAACCAGCCAUGCCGCGUGCAGGACGACGGCUCUACGAGUUGUAAACUGCUUUUGUACCGGGGUAAAAUGCCUUACGUGUAGGGUUUUGAAAGUACGGUACGAAUACGGAUCGGCUAACUCCGUGCCAGCAGCCGCGGUAAUACGGAGGAUCCGAGCGUUAUCCGGAUUUAUUGGGUUUAAAGGGAGCGUAGGUGGAUUGUUAAGUCAGUUGUGAAAGUUUGCGGCUCAACCGUAAAAUUGCAGUUGAAACUGGCAGUCUUGAGUACAGUAGAGGUGGGCGGAAUUCGUGGUGUAGCGGUGAAAUGCUUAGAUAUCACGAAGAACUCCGAUUGCGAAGGCAGUUCACUGGACUGCAACUGACACUGAGGCUCGAAAGUGUGGGUAUCAAACAGGAUUAGAUACCCUUGUAGUC